UACGAAGGGGGCUAGCGUUGUUCGGAUUUACUGGGCGUAAAGCGCACGUAGGCGGAUCGUUAAGUCAGGGGUGAAAUCCUGGGGCUCAACCCCAGAACUGCCUUUGAUACUGGCGAUCUCGAGUCCGGAAGAGGUGAGUGGAACUCCUAGUGUAGAGGUGGAAUUCGUAGAUAUUAGGAAGAACACCAGUGGCGAAGGCGGCUCACUGGUCCGGUACUGACGCUGAGGUGCGAAGGCGUGGGGAGCAAACAGG
rnacentral:rRNA from 1 species